rnacentral:rRNA from 1 species
UACGUGGGGUGCAAGCGUUGUUCGGAAUUACUGGGCGUAAAGCGCGUGUAGGCGGUCCGCUAAGUCUGAUGUGAAAUCCCUGGGCUCAACCCAGGAACUGCAUCGGAAACUGGCGGACUUGAGUUCGGGAGAGGGUCGCGGAAUUCCUGGUGUAGAGGUGAAAUUCGUAGAUAUCAGGAGGAACACCGGUGGCGAAGGCGGGUCUCUGGGCAGUAACUGACGCUGAGGAGCGAAAGCGUGGGGAGCGAACAGG